rnacentral:rRNA from 1 species
UACGUAGGUGACCAGCGUUGUCCGGAUUUACUGGGCGUAAAGAGCGCGCAGGCGGUCGUUCAAGUCGCGUGUGAAAGCCCCCGGCUCAACUGGGGAGGGUCAUUCGAUACUGAUCGACUCGAAGGCAGGAGAGGGAAGCGGAAUUCCCGGUGUAGUGGUGAAAUGCGUAGAUAUCGGGAGGAACACCAGUGGCGAAGGCGGCUUCCUGGCCUGUUCUUGACGCUGAGGCGCGAAAGCUAGGGGAGCAAACGGG